GAUGAACGCUAGCGGCAGGCUUAACACAUGCAAGUCGAGGGGUAGAGGUUGCUUGCAACCUUGAGACCGGCGCACGGGUGCGUAACGCGUAUGCAACCUACCUUUUACAGAGGGAUAGCCCAGAGAAAUUUGGAUUAAUACCUCAUAGUAUAUAACCUUCGCAUGUUGGUUAUAUUAAAGUUCCAACGGUAAAAGAUGGGCAUGCGUCCUAUUAGCUAGAUGGUAAGGUAACGGCUUACCAUGGCAACGAUAGGUAGGGGCCCUGAGAGGGAGAUCCCCCACACUGGUACUGGGACACGGACCAGACUCCUACGGGAGGCAGCAGUGAGGAAUAUUGGACAAUGGGCGCAAGCCUGAUCCAGCCAGGCCGCGUGCAGGAAGGAGCAUCUAUGGUGUGUAAACUGCUUUUGUACAGGAAGAAACACCCCGACGUGUCGGGACUUGACGGUACUGUAAGAAUAAGGAUCGGCUAACUCCGUGCCAGCCGCCGCCGUAAGAC
rnacentral:rRNA from 1 species